rnacentral:rRNA from 1 species
UCCAUGGAAGCUUGCUUCCAGAAGACCUAGUGGCGAACGGGUGAGUAACACGUGAGAAACCUGCCCCGGAGUGGGGAAUAACUCGAGGAAACUCGAGCUAAUACCGCAUACCCUCUAUUGGUCGCAUGGCCGAUUGAGGAAAGAAUUUCGCUCUGGGAGGGUCUCGCGGCCUAUCAGCUAGUUGGUGGGGUAACGGCCCACCAAGGCUACGACGGGUAGCUGGUUUGAGAGAACGAUCAGCCACACUGGGACUGAGACACGGCCCAGACUCCUACGGGAGGCAGCAGUGGGGAAUUGUUCGCAAUGGGCGCAAGCCUGACGACGCAACGCCGCGUGGAGGAUGAAGAUUUUCGGA